rnacentral:rRNA from 1 species
GAGUUUGAUUAUGGCUCAGGAUGAACGCUGGCGGCGUGCCUAACACAUGCAAGUCGAACGGAUGGCUCAUUUCGGUGGGCUAUGAGUGGCGCACGGGUGCGUAACACGUGGCUGACCUGCCUCCAAGAGGGGAAUAACCGCCCGAAAGGGUGGCUAAUAGCCCAUAAGCUCCCGGCAACUAGAGGGCAGGGAGAAAAGCUGAGGCGCUUGGAGAGGGGGCUGCGGCUCAUCAGGUAGAUGGUGGGGUAACGGCUCACCAUGCCGAUGACGAGUAGGGGGUCUGAGAGGAUGAUCCCCCACACUGGGACUGAGACACGGCCCAGACUCCUACGGGAGGCAGCAGUGAGGAAUAUUGCACAAUGGGGGCAACCCUGAUGCAGCGACGCCGCGUGGGUGAAGAAGGGCUUCGGCUCGUAAAACCCUUUUCUGCGUGACGAGGAAGGACGGUAGCGCAGGAAGAAGCCUCGGCUAACUACGUGCCAGCAGCCGCGGUAAAACG